UCGGGAAACUGAGGCCAAUAGCGGAUAUCACUCUCAGACUGGAGUGUCGAGAGUGAGAAACGUUCCGGCGCUGUAGGAUGUGGCUGCGGCCGAUUAGGUAGAUGGUGGGGUAACGGCCCACCAUGCCCAUAAUCGGUACAGGUUGUGACAGCAAGAGCCUGGAGACGGUAUCUGAGACAAGAUACCGGGCCCUACGGGGCGCAGCAGGCGCGAAACCUUUACACUGCACGAGAGUGCGAUAGGGGGACUCCGAGUGCGAGGGCAUAUAGUCCUCGCUUUUCUGAACCGUAAGGUGGUUCAGGAACAAGGACUGGGCAAGACCGGUGCCAGCCGCCGCGGUAAUACCGGCAGUCCAAGUGAUGGCCGAUAUUAUUGGGCCUAAAGCGUCCGUAGCUUGCUGUGUAAGUCCAUUGGGAAAUCGACGCGCUCAACGCGUCGGCGUCCGGUGGAAACUACACGGCUUGGGGCCGAGAGACUCGACGGGUACGUCCGGGGUAGGAGUGAAAUCCUGUAAUCCUGGACGGACCACCAAUGGCGAAAGCACGUCGAGAGACCGGACCCGACAGUGAGGGACGAAAGCCAGGGUCUCGAACCGGAUUAGAUACCCGGGUAGUCCUGGCUGUAAACAAUGCUCGCUAGGUAUGUCACGCACCAUGAGUGCGUGAUGUGCCGUAGUGAAGACGAUAAGCGAGCCGCCUGGGAAGUACGUCCGCAAGGAUGAAACUUAAAGGAAUUGGCGGGGGAGCACCACAACCGGAGGAGCCUGCGGUUUAAUUGGACUCAACGCCGGACAUCUCACCGGUCCCGACAGUAAUAACGACGGUCAGUUUGACGAACUUACCCGAGUUACUGAGAGGAGGUGCAUGGCCGCCGUCAGCUCGUACCGUGAGGCGUCCUGUUAAGUCAGGCAACGAGCGAGACCCGCACUUCUAGUUGCCAGCAAUACCCUCGAGGUAGUUGGGUACACUAGGAGG
rnacentral:rRNA from 1 species